rnacentral:siRNA from 1 species
ACAGAUUUUCCGGUACGUUAUGGU